rnacentral:lncRNA from 1 species
UUAGAAUUGGAAACUUUUUUUUUUAUAUAAUGGAUCAACCACAUCAAUCGUUAACAGUCCACUGUUGAAUACAAAGCUUCCUCAUAAGAAACGUUUUAUUUGUAGUGACGUUCAAUAAUAGGGAAUAAUAACUCCUAUUGCAGUAAGUAAACGAGUAUAGGCUCAAAGUCGUCUCUUAGGAAAAGAUAAUUGGGAGGUCUUAGCAGACAACAAUGAAUGGCUGAAAUGCACUACGCGCUACGAUGAAAUCUUCGUACAUUUUCAAACUUAAUAUCUCAACUGGAUUGUAUUACUCGUAAUACAACAGAUUUUCAAUUGGCUAAUGAGCGUGUGUUAUUAAUACAUAUCGCCCACGUGUCGAACCCAGUGUCAUAACUCGGCAUCAGCGAUUAGAGAACACAGAAAACACCUGUUCAGGUGGGCGACAUGGCCAGGGUCGCGGAAAAUAUUUCCAAAUGGUGCGCUUGCGCAACUAGUCACCUCGUGCAUGAUCAUCUUUCCCUAACGUCACGUGGUAUGCUCGCAUAUUUCAAAUUGAUAGCUGUGCUUUAUCUUGAGAUUAGUAAUAUUAGUCGGAAUGAAAAUUAUUGCAUAUUUAAUAAACCUUUAAAAGCGCUCCAAAAUAAACAAGGACCAGAUUCUUUAAAUUUGCAUCUGUAAUUGUUUGUCUGUGAAGUACCAAAAUGUGUUUAUUAUGUGCGACUAAUGUGAUUGUAUUGGAGUAUCAGCCAAGAAUGAGACACCGUAAAACUCAGUUUCCGGCGCGACCUGAUGCAGUCAUUAGCUGCGGCAUACCAACGGCGUCGUGCAAAAUUCUACGACCCCCUGUCUGUAUGAAUUUAUAAAUAAUCCCGGUAGGCCAGUGGCGGCGGCGGUGCGGCAGACCGCGCACGGCGCGGGCGCGCGAUCCGCGAUGUACACCCGCUCUGGCCUGGAGCGACUCGCGAACAAACAUUACUAGUUUAACCUAGGAAACGCGCUUCCAAGUUCAAAACACGCGAUCAAACAAGUUCAUAACGCCGCGAGUGUUCAUUAAAAGUUUUCUACAGCAUUUCCUUUUCCAAAUUAAUUUCUUUUUAAGAAUGUUUAGUGAUGUCUCAUAUUGAGUGUUAAUGAAGUUUAUUCAAUACAAGUUCACGACAACUUCUGAUUCGUGUCAAGUCAUACAUUGUGUUCACUUGGGUAUGAGGAGCCAUCAACAUUGUUCUGGCGUCUGUCUUAUUAGACAUGAGAGCAGACAAUGUUACUGCCAAUUUAAGAACAUAUAAAUUACAAUUUGUGCAGGGUUUGUAGCAACAAUAAUGUUAACAUUAUUGUGAACACAUCACAUUAUUUGGUUUUGUUAUGGGGUACCAUUGUUUUGUAUAAAACCGCAGUGAGUUUAGUGUUCAGUGUGUAUACAGCAAAUCAACAAAAUGAUGCAAGGAUUGUUGGAGUCACUGUACAAGAUCUAUACAGGUAAGACGUCUAAAUUGUAAGCCAAAUAAUUAUGACUAAUAUUCAAUUUAUCGACGUUCUCAAUACACAGCGCAGCCGCAUACAAGUACUGGUAAUUUGCAUAUAUUUUUUACAAACCAAAUAAAACGAGACUUGUUUAAGGGGUUUAACGCGUCAGAAUUUUAAAUUAAUGGUCCGCUACCAAAUUGACCUAUAAACAUAAAGUAUAAAGAAACAAAUGAUACGCAUUUUAGUCACAGAAUAAAUAAUAGUACGCAUUUUAGCUACAGAUUGUUGUCUCGUGCAUUGGUUUUGAAACAAGGUCACGACUGGCUGCCAUUAUUGGGCAUUUGGUGUGAAUUGGCCCUUACAAAGCCCGAGGCUGCGGUUUGGAGCUCACAUUCCUGUGCUAUAUUUACACAGUAUUGUAUAUCCUCGAUCAUAUUGUAAAAUUAUUUCCUCCAUCAACUAUCUCGUUCCACCAAAAUUAAUUCCUUUACCAUCAAGGACUAACGUGUUGCUAAAAGAAUGCUUCGCGAUUUCUAUUCUGUGGUUACUCUAAAACACGUGAUUUUACGGGUUGACUUUUGACGCAAUCGAAUUGUCGUCCAAUGGACGUUAUCUCCUUAGUUAUUACAACGUCUAUUUGACGUGAUUUGAAGACAUCUGCUAAUCUGAAAAUACGUUAUUCUCCAAGAUGACUUUUGAAAAGUAAUCCCUCUGUAGUCUUUUUAGAGUCAUGACCGUAUAAUGACUUGAAGAAUAACAUAUUUUAAAAUCGUAUACGUUACAUUAAAGGAUAUACUGUGACGACAAAGAUACUUCUCAUGCGUUUCUGUUCUUGAGAUCUAGGCCAUCCAACAUGACUUCCAUAUUCUAUCCUCCAAACCGGGCACCUUUUCAUCCACGCUCAGAAACAACAAUAUUGAAUUUCAAAACACCAUCUAUUUACUUGUAUCUAUCGUUUCUCGACAAAAAAUAGUUCGGUCCUUAUUCACGCUAAAAACUACUUACGUUUAUGUAAAAUUUUAUGAUUAAUUGAGCGCUAGUAUCAAGAUGUGACAAACAAACUCGCUUUCACGUUAUAAUAUUAAUAAAGUUACGUGCCGAUUAAAUGUGAACUUUAUUGCUACGGCAGUGUCAGAAACAGUAAAAGUUUACGACGUUAAUAAAAUCGUUUUCCUUAUUAUUAGUUGCAGGUAUACUGACAUAAAUAUAUCUGGUGCUAGUCUCGUCUAUUCUACCCUUAACCUUCAUCCAUCAACAUUUAUUAUUUGACUGCUGUAUUUCACUGCCACAACAGAUUUUCCUCUUUUAACACUAGAUAUUUCGCGAUAUUUGAAAAUAGAAUACUUUUUUUAUAUAUGUUGUGUUCUAUUUUCAAAUGUACCUUUAUAUACAUCACCUGCUCGUCGAUGAGCGAUCGAACCAAAUGUAAAAUCAUUCCGUUUUUAUUGUUUACCGAUAAAAUAAAUAAACCUCUGCUAAAUGUGGUCCCUUGUGUAGGUAUUACCUUUACAAUUGCCAGUGUUUCGUCCUUGAAGAC